CAAUAGCGUAUAUUAACGUUGUUGCAGUUAAAAAGCUCGUAGUUGGAUUUCUGCUGAGAACGACCGGUCCGCCCUCUGGGUGUGUAUCUGGCUCUUUCUUGGCAUCUUCUUGGUGAACGUUGCUGCACUUGACUGUGUGGAGCGCUACCCAGGACUUUUACUUUGAGGAAAUUAGAGUGUUUCAAGCAGGCAUACGCCUUGAAUACAUUAGCAUGGAAUAAUAAGAUAGGACCUCGGUUCUAUUUUGUUGGUUUCUAGAGCUGAGGUAAUGAUUAAUAGGGAUAGUUGGGGGCAUUCGUAUUUAACUGUCAGAGGUGAAAUUCUUGGAUUUGUUAAAGACGGACUACUGCGAANGNAUUUGCNAAGGAUGUUUNCAUUG
rnacentral:rRNA from 1 species